rnacentral:rRNA from 1 species
AGCUGGUUGGUGAGGUAAAUGCUCACCAAGGCAACGAUACGCAGCCGACCUGAGAGGGUGAUCGGCCACAUUGGAACUGAGACACGGUCCAGACUCCUACGGGAGGCAGCAGUGGGGAAUAUUGCGCAAUGGGGGAAACCCUGACGCAGCAACGCCGCGCGAGUGAUGAAGGUCUUCGGAUCGUAAAGCUCUGUUUUCUGGGACGAUAAUGACGGUACCAGAGGAGGAAGCCACGGCUAACUACGUGCCAGCAGCCGCGGUAAUACGUAGGUGGCGAGCGUUGUCCGGAUUUACUGGGCGUAAAGGGUGCGUAGGCGGAUUCUUAAGUGGGAUGUGAAAUACCCGAGCUUAACUUGGGUGCUGCAUUCCAAACUGAGAAUCUAGAGUGCAGGAGAGGAAAGUGGAAUUCCUAGUGUAGCGGUGAAAUGCGUAGAGAUUAGGAAGAACACCAGUGGCGAAGGCGACUUUCUGGACUGUAACUGACGCUGAGGCACGAAAGCGUGGGUAGCAAACAGGAUUAGAUACCCUGGUAGUCCACGCCGUAAACGAUGGAUACUAGGUGUCGGGGGUCGAACCUCGGUGCCGCAGUUAACGCAGUAAGUAUCCCGCCUGGGGAGUACGGUCGCAAGAUUAAAACUCAAAGGAAUUGACGGGGGCCCGCACAAGCAGCGGAGCAUGUGGUUUAAUUCGACAACGCGAAGAACCUUACCUAGACUUGACAUCCCUUGCAUAACCUAGAAAUAGGCGAAGCCCUUCGGGGCAAGGAGACAGGUGGUGCAUGGUUGUCGUCAGCUCGUGUCGUGAGAUGUUAGGUUAAGUCCUGCAACGAGCGCAACCCUUAUUAUUAGUUGCUACCAUUAAGUUGAGCACUCUAAUGAGACUGCCUGGGUAACCAGGAGGAAGGUGGGGAUGACGUCAAAUCAUCAUGCCCCUUAUGUCUAGGGCUACACACGUGCUACAAUGAUAGGUACAGAGAGACGCAAGACCGUGAGGUGGAGCAAAUCUCAAAAGCCUAUCCCAGUUCGGAUUGUAGGCUGCAACUCGCCUACAUGAAGUUGGAGUUGCUAGUAAUCGCGAAUCAGAAUGUCGCGGUGAAUACGUUCCCGGGCCUUGUACACACCGCCCGUCACACCAUGAGAGCUGGUAACACCCGAAGUCCGUGAGGUAACCUUUUAGGAACCAGCGGCCGAAGGUGGGAUUGGUGAUUGGGGUGAAGUCGUAACAAGGUAGCCGUAGGAGAACCUGCGGCUG